rnacentral:lncRNA from 1 species
AUCAAAGCGUCAUUUGGGAUAAACCAUUUUCAAGUUAAAUACUUCGAUGAAGAUAAUGAAGAG